UUGUAACUCGAUUCAAAAAAUUUAACUCUUUUUUUCCUUUUCGCAGAAAAAAUGCUAAGGAGAAUUUUUCUACAGCAAUUCUGGAGCGGAAGAAAGCUAUGAAUAGGCUCAUCGUACAUGAGGCGGUCAACCAUGAUAACUCUGUUAUCGUCUUACACCCGUUACUAUGGAGAAACUUCAGCUUUCUUAUAAAGGUGUGUAAAGCUGCAUAAACCUCUUGGCGGGAUUUUACUGUUGCUCGGGCGAACAAAGUUUAGCUUUGAAAGAAAAAAUGCUAAGGAGGAUUUUUCUACGGCGAUUCUGCAGUUGAAGAAAGUUGUGAAUAGGCUCAUCCUACACAAGGCUGUCAACCAUCAUAACUCUGUUAUUGUCUUACACCUGUUGCUAUGGAGAAACUUCUGCUUUCUUAUUAAGUGGAAGAAAGCCGUGAAUAGGCUCAUCGUACACGAGGCGGUCAACCAUGAUAACUCUGUUAUCGUCUUACACCUGUUGCUAUGGAGAAAAUUUAGCUUUCUUAUUAAGGUUUUCAAUUUAGUCUUCUGAUUGAAACUCUUUAUAUCGUACUUAUUGCGAUGUUUUGCAGGUUUUUUAUUAAAUAUUUACAGAAUUUAUGAUCAUUACAUAGUAAUGUUUUGAUGAUAAAUUUCUAGGGUUUAAUAGCGUGUCGUGUAGCUUUUGAACUAUUUAAUGACUUAUUUGUCGUUUGCUUAGGUUCUAGGUGAUUGUUUUGUUGUUUCUAGGUGUGUAAAGCCGCAUAGACCUCUUGGUGUGUAUGUUUUAAACUGACGCGUAAUUUACAUAAUAAACUCCAAAGUUGAUUGUA